rnacentral:rRNA from 1 species
GAACGGCAGCGCGGGCUUCGGCCUGGCGGCGAGUGGCGGACGGGUGAGUAAUGCAUCGGAACGUGCCCAGGAGUGGGGGAUAACGUAGCGAAAGUUACGCUAAUACCGCAUACGUACUGAGGUAGAAAGCGGGGGAUCGAAAGACCUCGCGCUCAUGGAGCGGCCGAUGUCGGAUUAGCUAGUUGGCGGGGUAAAAGCCCACCAAGGCGACGAUCCGUAGCUGGUCUGAGAGGACGACCAGCCACACUGGGACUGAGACACGGCCCAGACUCCUACGGGAGGCAGCAGUGGGGAAUCUUGGACAAUGGGGGAAACCCUGAUCCAGCAAUGCCGCGUGUGGGAUGAAGGCCCUCGGGUUGUAAACCACUUUUGGCAGGAAAGAAAUCGCCUGUGCUAAUACCACAGGCGGAUGACGGUACCUGCAGAAUAAGCACCGGCUAACUACGUGCCAGCAGCCGCGGUAAUACGUAGGGUGCGAGCGUUAAUCGGAAUUACUGGGCGUAAAGAGUGCGUAGGCGGUUUUGUAAGACAGAUGUGAAAUCCCCGGGCUUAACCUGGGAACUGCAUUUGUGACUGCAAGACUAGAGUGUGUCAGAGGGAGGUGGAAUUCCGCGUGUAGCAGUGAAAUGCG